rnacentral:rRNA from 1 species
AGAACGAACGCUGGCGGCAGGCUUAACACAUGCAAGUCGAACGAACGUAGCAAUACGUUAGUGGCGCACGGGUGAGUAACGCGUGGAUAUCUGCCUUUUGGUUCGGGAUAACCUUGGGAAACUAGGGCUAAUACCGAAUGGUUCCUACGGGAUAAAGAUUUAUCGCCAAAAGAUGAGUCCGCGUCCGAUUAGCUAGUUGGUGGGGUAAUGGCUCACCAAGGCGACGAUCGGUAGCUGGUCUGAGAGGACGAUCAGCCACACUGGGACUGAGACACGGCCCAGACUCCUACGGGAGGCAGCAGUGGGGAAUAUUGGCAAUGGGGGCAACCCUGAUCCAGCCAUGCCGCGUGAGUGAUGAAGGCCUUGGGUUGUAAAGCUCUUUUGGCGGGGACGAUGAUGACGGUACCCGCAGAAUAAGCCCCGGCUAACUUCGUGCCAGCAGCCGC